ensembl:lncRNA
GCUUGUCAUUAAAAUUCUGGUCACAGAUGUGGGUUAAAAUAUCUCUAACCUUUACAAAUGUAUUAUGUGGCACUACUGACAUAGCUUUUAUUGCAGAUAAAAUCUAUAACAAAUUCUCCAUGUGACAGGAGAGCAACAUGAUUUUGUAUUAAAUUCAGAUGAUAGAGAUGCAUUCCUUGCUUGUACUUUUAAAAUGUUUUGGAUUUAGUAACAGCUUUAAGAAGAGGAUGUAAAAGAGACGUAAGAAUUCAACUCAUUUCCAGUCUUGGUUGAAUCCCUCAAAAAGUCCUGCACGGAGGGUGUGAAUUUGAAAUGUGCAGAGGAUGCUAGACACUUUUUCCAGUGUUGGAAUUCAGUGCUCCUUGAAAUCCUUGUUUCACAUCUUCUGAUGCUCAGAACCUCACAAGAUGGAAGACUGUUUCCCAUGAUAAAUUCAGAGGGUGAGUUAGCAUAAAUAUGCAUAACAGUAUCUAUAUGAAGGCAUGCUGUUUUAACACAGGGAUAUAUUGUAGAUGUUAGAAAAAAUUUCUUCUCCAACAGAGUGGUCCAGGCACUGGCACAGGCUGCCCAGGCAGGUGGUUAAGUCAGUGUCCCUAGAGGUGUUAGAGAACUGUAGGUAUGUUCCACUGAGGGACAGUUUAUAUUGUGGGGAUGGGUUGGGGUUGGACUAUAUGAUCUUAGAGAUCUUUUCCAACCUUAACAGUUCUAUGAUUCCAUACCCACUUUUCAACAAUUCGUCAAUUUUACUAGACUAUACUAAAACACAUGGUCACAGUUAUUCCUGUUCUUUAACUAAUGAAACUAAACGAUCCUCCUGUUUGACCAUUUCUUCCCUUAGUCUGGAUAAAAAAAAAUUCUUUCCUUUUGAGCUGGGUAACAGUCUGGCACCAAGGAAUGUGUUGAAGCCUUUUAUAUGCAGAUUAUCUGCUGUCCUGCUUCUUUCAGUAGGUGCCAUAAAUUAAUAUUCAAAAUCUGCUACAAUUUUGUCAGUUUUUUUAAUUCAUUUCAUAUGUAUUUAAUCCCACAUCAAUCUCAGUUUUUCUGCAAUAUGUGCCAUAUUGUAGCAGCUUUUUAGCUGCCACUGAUGAUUUUCUCAUUCCUUUAGUGUGAGGUUUUAAUUCUGCUAACGCUUUUGUUAAUGAAAUACAUGUCACUUAAUGAAAUUAAAUG